rnacentral:rRNA from 1 species
GAUGAACGCUAGCUACAGGCUUAACACAUGCAAGUCGAGGGGAAACGAUGAGAGAGCUUGCUCUCUUAGGCGUCGACCGGCGCACGGGUGAGUAACGCGUAUCCAACCUACCCAUUACAGGGGGAUAACCUUGCGAAAGUAAGACUAAUACCCCAUGGCAUUUUAUGGUGGCAUCAUUAUAGGAUUAAAGAUUUAUUGGUAAUGGAUGGGGAUGCGUCUGAUUAGCUUGUUGGCGGGGUAACGGCCCACCAAGGCAACGAUCAGUAGGGGUUCUGAGAGGAAGGUCCCCCACAUUGGAACUGCGACACGGUCCAAACUCCUACGGGGGGCAGCGGUGAGGAAUAUUGGUCAAUGGGCGAGAGCUUGAACCAGCCAAGUAGCGUGCAGGAUGCCGGCCCUAUGGGUUGUAAGCUGCUUUUAUAGGGGAAUAAAGUGAGCUACGUGUAGUUUAUUGCAUGUACCCUAUGAAUAAGGACCGGCUAAUUCCGUG